GGCGAACGCUGGCGGCAGGCUUAACACAUGCGAGUCGAACGCCCGUAGCAAUACGGGAGUGGCAGACGGGUGAGUAACACGUGGGAACAUGCCCUUUGGUUCGGAAUAACUCAGGGAAACUUGAGCUAAUACCGGAUAAGCCCGAGAGGGGAAAGAUUUAUCGCCGAAGGAUUGGCCCGCGUCCGAUUAGCUAGUUGGUGAGGUAGUGGCUCACCAAGGCGACGAUCGGUAGCUGGUCUGAGAGGAUGAUCAGCCACACUGGGACUGAGACACGGCCCAGACUCCUACGGGAGGCAGCAGUGGGGAAUAUUGGACAAUGGGGGCAACCCUGAUCCAGCCAUGCCGCGUGAGUGAUGAAGGCCCUAGGGUUGUAAAGCUCUUUCGGCGGGGACGAUAAUGACGGUACCCGCAGAAGAAGCCCCGGCUAACUUCGUGCCAGCAGCCGCAGUAA
rnacentral:rRNA from 1 species